rnacentral:rRNA from 1 species
CCUACGGGUGGCAGCAGUGGGGAAUAUUGCACAAUGGGGGAAACCCUGAUGCAGCGACGCCGCGUGGAGGAAGAAGGUCUUCGGAUUGUAAACUCCUGUCCCAGGGGACGAUAAUGACGGUACCCUGGGAGGAAGCACCGGCUAACUACGUGCCAGCAGCCGCGGUAAAACGUAGGGUGCAAGCGUUGUCCGGAAUUACUGGGUGUAAAGGGAGCGCAGGCGGAUUGGCAAGUUGGGAGUGAAAUCUAUGGGCUCAACCCAUAAAUUGCUUUCAAAACUGUCAGUCUUGAGUGGUGUAGAGGUAGGCGGAAUUCCCGGUGUAGCGGUGGAAUGCGUAGAUAUCGGGAGGAACACCAGUGGCGAAGGCGGCCUACUGGGCACUAACUGACGCUGAGGCUCG